CAAUAGCGUAUAUUAAAGUUGUUGCAGUUAAAAAGCUCGUAGUUGGAUUUGUGGUGAUCCCUGUGGUCCGAUUUCGGUACUUUCGGGGACUGCCAUCCUUGGGUGGAUCCUGUGUGGCAUUAGGUUGUCGCGCAGGGGAUGCCCAUCGUUUACUGUGAAAAAAUUAGAGUGUUCAAAGCAGGCUUACGCCGUUGAAUAUAUUAGCAUGGAAUAAUGAGAUAGGACCUUGGUACUAUUUUGUUGGUUUGCGCACCGAGGUAAUGAUUAAUAGGGACAGUUGUGGGUAUUCGUAUUCCAUUGUCAGAGGUGAAAUUCUUGGAUUUCUGGAAGACGAACUAAUGCGAAAGCAUUUACCAAGGAUGUUUUCAUUAA
rnacentral:rRNA from 1 species